rnacentral:rRNA from 1 species
GACGAACGCUGGCGGCGUGCCUAAUACAUGCAAGUCGAACGAGAGCGACCGGUGCUUGCACUGGUCAAUCUAGUGGCGAACGGGUGAGUAACACGUGGGUAACCUGCCCAUCAGAGGGGGAUAACAUUCGGAAACGGAUGCUAAAACCGCAUAGGUCUUCGAACCGCAUGGUUUGAAGAGGAAAAGAGGCGCAAGCUUCUGCUGAUGGAUGGACCCGCGGUGCAUUAGCUAGUUGGUGAGGUAACGGCUCACCAAGGCCGUGAUGCAUAGCCGACCUGAGAGGGUGAUCGGCCACAUUGGGACUGAGACACGGCCCAAACUCCUACGGGAGGCAGCAGUAGGGAAUCUUCCGCAAUGGACGCAAGUCUGACGGAGCAACGCCGCGUGAGUGAAGAAGGUUUUCGGAUCGUAAAACUCUGUUGUUAGAGAAGAACAAGUGCUAGAGUAACUGUUAGCGCCUUGACGGUAUCUAACCAGAAAGCCACGCA